rnacentral:rRNA from 1 species
GACGAACGCUGGCGGCGUGCUUAACACAUGCAAGUCGAACGGGAUCCAAAGGCUUUUUGUUUUUGGUGAGAGUGGCGAACGGGUGAGUAACACGUGAGUAACCUGCCCCCUUCUUUUGGAUAACCGCAUGAAAGUGUGGCUAAUACAGGAUAUUCCAGGCUGGUCGCAUGAUUGGUUUGGGAAAUGGUUUGGUCUGGUGGGGGAUGGGCUCGCGGCCUAUCAGCUUGUUGGUGGGGUGAUGGCCUACCAAGGCGGUGACGGGUAGCCGGCCUGAGAGGGUGGGCGGUCACACUGGGACUGAGAUACGGCCCAGACUCCUACGGGAGGCAGCAGUGGGGGAUUUUGCACAAUGGGCGCAAGCCUGAUGCAGCGACGCCGCGUGAGGGAUGAAGGCCUUCGGGUUGUAAACCUCUUUCGCUGGGUUGAAAGGCCAUGCUUUGGGUGCGGUUGAUUUGAACUGGUAAAGAAGUACCGGCUAACUACGUG